rnacentral:lncRNA from 1 species
GUGACGGUUCUAUUUGCUGUGCCUUCUAUGUGCCUCUGCAGAGAGGGGCAAGAAGAAAGGCAGCCCUCCCAUCCCAGGGCUUUGACUCCAAAAGGGUUAAAUGGUAGCAAAGCUGAGGGAAUUUUGCAUUUUCCUUAGGUUAUAUUUUUCUCAAACAUUUAAACAACUUUGGUUCACAAUAGCACCUGUAAGUACUUUCUUUCAACUUUGUAAAAGGGACUCUAUUUUCUUACUCUAAAUAAAUAUAUGCAGGAAAUCUCACACACAUGUGUGUUGACACAUGCAUAAUGAUGCAUAUCUUUUAAGUCUUGCCCAUUUCAAUAGGAGAUGCUAUUGAACAUUUUACUUAAAGAAGAAUAGAUUUCUCACAUUAACUGAGAUGACCAGUGACCCCAAACCAAUUAAUGAAUAGAGUCCAUAAUGGUAGCACUAUAUAGCAUAGCAUAGUGACAAGUUCAUUUAACAUAUUAUAUUACCUAACAGGAGGAGAAACUACCACUUGUAAUGUAAAUAGCUUAAUGGCUCUUUCUAUGAUAAGCAAGAUCAGAAAAAAAAUUUAUGUUCUGCUUUAACAAGAGAUAUUCCAUAUCUUUUGGAGGUGUAUCUAUAAUACUGUACAUUUUCAUUUUGCCACAAAUCUUCCCCUAAUUUCUUAGAGUGAUGUUUGUGCACAUGACUUUAAUUUUCUGAGGGAGAUGGGCAGGUGUUCUUGUGCCCAUUAGUUGUGUCUGCCCAUAAGAAGCACAGUAACAUCCAUGAACCAAAUACAAUUUGACAUAAUUCAUGCCUUUAUUACCUCCUACAGAAUGAUAUUAUUUCAUGCUGGCACCUUAAUGUUUCCAGCACAAUACUGUCAUUCCUGGAAGUUUUACUUUCUGAAGUUCAAAUGUUAUGGAAGGAGUUUUAAAAUUCCACAAGUGCCUUAGAUUUGAGGCAAAUACAACAAAUUUGGUGAUAAGCUUUUUUAACUUUUUAUUUUUUUAAUAUUUAGUGGCACUGCAGACAAUGUUUAGACAAUGAGCAAAGGUCAUUUCUGAAAACUCUUCUCUUCUUGACCAAAGAACUUAUUUCUGUUCUAUUUCUGGUUUUGCAAAUGAUAUUUACUCAGCUUAUCAUGUUAUACUUUGCUUUUUGUUCCCCUAGGAUGUAAAAUCAGGAAAUGUGGAUCAAAAAGUUUCCAUGAUUGCAACUUGAAUAUAUUUGGUGUAGCACUUACAUCUUUCCUACUAUUCCAGUGCUUGGAAUUAGUUAGGGCAGACAGUAUUAGCUUCCUAUCACUGCCAUAACAAAUUACCACAAACUCAGUGGUUAAAACAACACAAAUUUAUUAUUUUACAUUUUUGUAAGUUGGAAGUUCAGAGGACUAACUUGUCAACAGAGCUGCAUUCCUCUGGAGGCUCUAGGGGAGAAUCCAAUUCCUUGCAUAUCCUAACUUCCAGAGGCCACUUGCCUUCCUUGGCUUGUGGCCCCUUCCUUCAUAUUCAAAACCAUCAAGGGCAGGGAAAUCCCUCUCACAUGGCAUUGAUCUUACCCUCUUCUGUCAUUAUACCUCUCCCUUUGAGUCCAACUGGAAAAUGUUCUUGACUUUUAAGGACUCAUGUGAUUACAAUGAGCUGAUUAGGAUAAUAUCCUUAUUUCUAGGUCCAUUCCCUAAAUGACUUCUGCAAAGUCUCUUUUGUCAUGAAAGAGAUAUUUACAGACUUGGAGAUUUGGAGCUGGGUGUCUUGGAGCACUGUUGAUCAGCUUAUCAUAGGGAGUCUUUGAGAGUUUUUUUUUUUUAAAUUUUAUUUUUAGUUGUAGAUGGACACAACACCUUUAUUUUUAUUCAUUCAUUUUUAUGUGGUGCUGAGGACCAAACCCAGUGCCUCACAUAUGCCAGUAGAGUGCUCUAUCACAGAGACACAACCGCAGCUCUGAGAG